rnacentral:rRNA from 1 species
AACGAACGCUGGCGGCAGGCUUAACACAUGCAAGUCGAGCGCCCCGCAAGGGGAGCGGCAGACGGGUGAGUAACGCGUGGGAAUCUACCCAUCUCUACGGAAUAACUCAGGGAAACUUGUGCUAAUACCGUAUACGCCCUUCGGGGGAAAGAUUUAUCGGAGAUGGAUGAGCCCGCGUUUGGAUUAGCUAGUUGGUGGGG